GGUACCGCCCGUCCCCGGGCGCUUGCGGCCGCCCCGCCCACUCCUCCUCCCCAGCCUGACAGGAACCCAGCUGGGUUCACGCGCGGGGACGAGGAAGACAGGGAAUGGACAGCCUCGAGGCACCCCACAAGAAGGGCU
rnacentral:miRNA from 14 species